UCUUUUCUAUAUAUAUUAGAGGAUAUUCAAAUUAAGAACCCAUGUCCUAUCUAGUAGCUAGAACAUGUUCUGUAUAUAAUACAACUGCUAGAUAUUUAAACAUAUUGAGCACGUUCAUACGAUACAAAACAUUGUCAUUGUGUGGUGAUUUUCGCAAAACCGUGUGAAAUUCUGAACAACCGAGACACAAGGACCAAAUUUUACCAACCGUGAAAUCAGUUUUAUCAGAAAUGAAGCUUUUAUUAUUGGCUUGCUUCGUCAUAUUAUGUGUUUCGUUGAUGGAUGCAAGGGUUACAGAUUGCUUUGGUAAAGAACGUGGAUCACGUUGUAGCUGUGGCUUUGGAAUGUCUGGAACUUGUCAACACAAUAACUUUUGUUUAUGUGAUAUGGUUCGAAGGAAACGAGGUGUCAUUUCAGUUAGAACUACGUGAUAUGAAACUUUGAUUUAGUGCUGGACAUGGUUCAUCUUAUCUCUCUAAAUAAUCAGUUCAAGUGUUCACAAGGAUCAACCUCACAAAGUUUUCAACCUAUCGUUUUGUUUUGUAAAUGUCCAAUAAAUUAUGCUGAGAAUUUAACAA